rnacentral:rRNA from 1 species
GAUGAACGCUGGCGGCGUGCCUAAUACAUGCAAGUCGAGCGAACAGACGAGGAGCUUGCUCUUCUGACGUUAGCGGCGGACGGGUGAGUAACACGUGGAUAACCUACCUAUAAGACUGGGAUAACUUCGGGAAACCGGAGCUAAUACCGGAUAAUAUGUUGAACCGCAUGGUUCAACAGUGAAAGACGGUCUUUCUGUCACUUAUAGAUGGAUCCGCGCUGCAUUAGCUAGUUGGUAAGGUAACGGCUUACCAAGGCAACGAGGCGUAGCCGACCUGAGAGGGUGAUCGGCCACACUGGAACUGAGACACGGUCCAGACUCCUACGGGAGGCAGCAGUAGGGAAUCUUCCGCAAUGGGCGAAAGCCUGACGGAGCAACGCCGCGUGAGUGAUGAAGGUCUUCGGAUCGUAAAACUCUGUUAUUAGGGAAGAACAUAUGUGUAAGUAACUGUGCACAUCUUGACGGUACCUAAUCAGAAAGCCACGGCUAACUACGUG